UACAGAGGGUGCAAGCGUUAAUCGGAAUUACUGGGCGUAAAGCGUGCGUAGACGGUUGCGUAAGUCAGAUGUGAAAGCCCCGGGCUCAACCUGGGAAUGGCGAUGGAUACUGGCUCGCUAGAGUGCGGUAGAGGAGAGUGGAAUUCCCGGUGUAGCGGUGAAAUGCGUAGAGAUCGGGAGGAACACCAGAGGCGAAGGCGGCUAGCUGGACAGUUACUGACACUCAACUACGAAAGCGUGGGGAGCAAACAGG
rnacentral:rRNA from 1 species